GAUGAACGCUGGCGGCGUGCCUAAUACAUGCAAGUCGAGCGAACAGAUAAGGAGCUUGCUCCUUUGACGUUAGCGGCGGACGGGUGAGUAACACGUGGGUAACCUACCUAUAAGACUGGGAUAACUUCGGGAAACCGGAGCUAAUACCGGAUAAUAUUUCGAACCGCAUGGUUCGAUAGUGAAAGAUGGUUUUGCUAUCACUUAUAGAUGGACCCGCGCCGUAUUAGCUAGUUGGUAAGGUAACGGCUUACCAAGGCGACGAUACGUAGCCGACCUGAGAGGGUGAUCGGCCACACUGGAACUGAGACACGGUCCAGACUCCUACGGGAGGCAGCAGUAGGGAAUCUUCCGCAAUGGGCGAAAGCCUGACGGAGCAACGCCGCGUGAGUGAUGAGGGUCUUCGGAUCGUAAAACUCUGUUAUUAGGGAAGAACAUACGUGUAAGUAACUGUGCACGUCUUGACGGUACCUAAUCAGAAAGCCACGGCUAACUACGUG
rnacentral:rRNA from 1 species